GACGAACGCUGGCGGCGUGCUUAACACAUGCAAGUCGAACGGAAAGGCCCUGCUUUUGUGGGGUGCUCGAGUGGCGAACGGGUGAGUAACACGUGAGUAACCUGCCCUUGACUUUGGGAUAACUUCAGGAACUGGGGCUAAUACCGGAUAGGAGCUCCUGCUGCAUGGUGGGGGUUGGAAAGUUUCGGCGGUUGGGGAUGGACUCGCGGCUUAUCAGCUUGUUGGUGGGGUAGUGGCUUACCAAGGCUUCGACGGGUAGCCGGCCUGAGAGGGUGACCGGCCACAUUGGGACUGAGAUACGGCCCAGACUCCUACGGGAGGCAGCAGUGGGGAAUAUUGCACAAUGGGCGGAAGCCUGAUGCAGCAACGCCGCGUGCGGGAUGACGGCCUUCGGGUUGUAAACCGCUUUCGCCUGUGACGAAGCGUGAGUGACGGUAAUGGGUAAAGAAGCACCGGCUAACUACGUG
rnacentral:rRNA from 1 species